rnacentral:lncRNA from 1 species
UUAGGGAAGACAUUCUUCCAAGUAUCAAGAAAGGGAGCCCUUGCUUCCCUGGAAGACAUUUCGUCCCAGCAAUCCCGCUCCAGUUCCAUGUGACCAUUCCUACUCUGAGCCAGUUUUGGAAAGGAAGUCAUCUCACAUGCCACCUUGGAAGGCAGAGCAACACAAAUAAUCAGGAAAGACAUUCUUCCAAGUUGCUUCCCUGGAAGAUAUUUCGUCCCAGCAAUCCCUCUCCAGUUCCAUGUGACCAUUCCUACUCUGAGCCAGUUUUGGAAAGGAAGG